rnacentral:rRNA from 1 species
AUUGAACGCUGGCGGCAGGCCUAACACAUGCAAGUCGAACGAGUGGCGGACGGGUGAGUAAUGUCUGGGAAACUGCCUGAUGGAGGGGGAUAACUACUGGAAACGGUAGCUAAUACCGCAUACCAUCGGAUGUGCCCAGAUGGGAUUAGCUAGUAGGUGGGGUAAAGGCUCACCUAGGCGACGAUCCCUAGCUGGUCUGAGAGAAUGACCAGCCACACUGGAACGAGAACACGGUCAAGACUCCUACGGAGGGAAGCAUGGGGGAAUAUUGCACAAUGGGCGCAGGCCGGCUGCGGCCAUGCCGCGUGUAUGAGGUAGGCCUUCGGGUUGUAAAGUACGUUCAGCGGGGAGGCGUUACCCGAAGAGGAAGCACCGGCUAACUCCGUGCCAGCAGCCGCGGUAAUUC